rnacentral:piRNA from 1 species
UUGGGUCGGAUUCUCUCAAGUGUAGGGAGU